rfam:Rhizobium sp. Root149 contig_10, whole genome shotgun sequence.
GAGAGCCGGAUGCGCUGAAAGGUGCAAGUCCGGUUCGGAGGGGGGCUGAGCCGCGUCCUCAUUGAGGCGCCGCCAGCCUACCCUAC